AACGAACGCUGGCGGCGUGGUUGAUACAUGCAAGUCGAACGGGAAGGGGGACUUCGGUUCCCUUGUACCGUGGCGGACGGGUGAGUAACGCAUGGUCAAUCUGCCCUGGAGACCGGGAUAGCCACUCGAAAGGGUGGGUAAUACCGGGUACGCCCAUGUCGGGGCAUCCCGAUAUGGGGAUAAGGUUGGGACCUUCGGGCCUUCCGCUCCAGGAUGAGAUCAUGUUCUAUCAGCUAGUUGGUGGGGUAACGGCCUACCAAGGCUUCGACGGAUAGCCGGCCUGAGAGGGUGGACGGCCACACUGGAACUGAGACACGGUCCAGACUCCUACGGGAGGCAGCAGUGCUGAAUUAUUCGCCAAUGCGCGAAAGCGUGACGGUGCGACGCCGCGUGCGGGACGAAGGCCUUCGGGUUGUAAACCGCUGUCAGGGUGUAGAAAACCAUGGGGGUUAACAGCCUUCAUGCUGAUCCCACCCAAAGGAAGCACAGGCUAACCUCGUGCCAGCCGCCGCAGUAAAAC
rnacentral:rRNA from 1 species